GCUUCCAUAGCUCAGUGGUAGAGCGAGAGAUUGCAGAUCUCUAGGUCAGGUGUUCGAAUCACCUUGGAAGCU
rfam:Saitoella complicata NRRL Y-17804 DNA, contig: contig007, whole genome shotgun sequence.